ACGUUAGCGGCGGACGGGUGAGUAACACGUGGGUAACCUACCUAUAAGACUGGGAUAACUCCGGGAAACCGGGGCUAAUACCGGAUAACACAUGAAACCGCAUGGUUUCAUGAUGAAAGACGGUUUUGCUGUCACUUAUAGAUGGACCCGCGGCGUAUUAGCUAGUUGGUAAGGUAACGGCUUACCAAGGCAACGAUACGUAGCCGACCUGAGAGGGUGAUCGGCCACGCUGGAACUGAGACACGGUCCAG
rnacentral:rRNA from 1 species